AGCGAACGUUUGCGGCGGGCCUAACACAUGCAAGUCGAACGCACUAGCAAUAGUGAGUGGCGCACGGGUGCGUAACACGUGGGUAAUCAACCCUUCAGCCUGGGAUAACGACUCGAAAGGGUCGCUAAUACCGGAUACGGCGCGAGAGGCUUCGGCUUCUCACGAGAAAGCCACGCAAGGGGCACUGAAGGACGAGCCUGCGGCCCAUCAGCUAGUUGGUGAGGUAAUGGCUCACCAAGACGAUGAUCAGUAGCUGGUCUGAGAGGACGAACAGCCACAAUGGGACUGAGACAAGGCCCAUACCCCCUACGGGGGGCGAGCAGUGGGGAAGUCUUGCGCAAUGGACGAAAGUCUGACGCAGCGAUCUCGCGUGAAGGAUGAAGCUUUGCGGAGUGUAAACUUCUUUUCUGGGAGAAAACAACUGAUGGUAUCUCAGGAAUAAGGGACGGCUAACUACGUGCCAGCAGCCGCGGUAAAGUACAGUGU
rnacentral:rRNA from 1 species